GGUGCCGUAGUGUAAUGGUAGCACACCUGCCGAUUAGAGGAGUACGCUUUGAAAGCAGGUAGUGCGGGUUCGAGUCCCGACGUCGCCGCCA
rnacentral:tRNA from 1 species